rnacentral:rRNA from 1 species
GGCCAGACUCCUACGGGAGGCAGCAGUGGGGAAUAUUGCACAAUGGGGGGAAACCCUGAUGCAGCGACGCCGCGUGAGUGAAGAAGUAUUUCGGUAUGUAAAGCUCUAUCAGCAGGGAAGAAGAAAGACGGUACCUGACUAAGAAGCCCCGGCUAACUACGUGCCAGCAGCCGCGGUAAUACGUAGGGGGCAAGCGUUAUCCGGAUUUACUGGGUGUAAAGGGAGCGUAGAUGGCUGUGCAAGUCUGAAGUGAAAGACCAGGGCUCAACCCUGGGACUGCUUUGGAAACUGUGGAGCUAGAGUGCUGGAGAGGUAAGUGGAAUUCCUAGUGUAGCGGUGAAAUGCGUAGAUAUUAGGAGGAACACCAGUGGCGAAGGCGGCUUACUGGACAGUAACUGACGUUGAGGCUCGAAAGCGUGGGGAGCAAACAGGAUUAGAUACCCGCGUAAC